CACAACAACAUCAGCUGUUACCAUGGUUUCUGACUGCCGUCUCAGAGCUCUGAUUUUAAGACUACAUUUCCCAGAAUUCCCAGUUCCCAUUAGUACAAAUAUUUUCCACAGAAGCUGGGCUUUAAAUAUGGAUUUAGCAAAAACUGACUGUAAAGGAAUGGAUGGAUAGAUCGACAGUCAAAUUAAUGGAUGAAUGAAUUGAUGGAUAUCAGAUGAAUACGGCUUGGGAAUAAAAUCUCUGAUCUUUUCAUUCAAGAUCCAAUUUUAAUAAUUCUUUUCUCACUUUUUCUAAAAAGAAAAUAAUAACAACAAUAAUGACAAAUGACAGAAAAUAUUUUCAAAAAGCAGGUUUUACUCCAAUCAUCCUUUUUCUGAGUUAUUCACCAAACAUUAUGGCCAGGCUACGAGAAUUUUUGUUUAAUUAGAGGAAUAUAGUCAUAAUACUUAAAUAAAGAGAGAAUCUUGCCAGAAAAAAGUCUUAAAAUUACAAGAAAAAAGUAGUUUUAAAGAGAAAAAAGCUUGAAUUUUUAUUUUUGUGUUAAAGUUCGUAUGAAAUUACUAUUAUUCUCCUAAUAUUACAACUAUAUUCUGGGACUACUAAGACUUUUGUUCUUGAAUUAUUUCAACUUUAUGGUCAUUUGUCUCGUAUUACUAUGUCUGUAUUCUUGUAAUGUUAUGACUAUUUUUGACCAUUACAAUUAGUCGUAGUGUUGACCUGAAUUCAAAGUUCAAAUAAAUAAAAGUUGUAAAACAAGAUGGCCGCCUUGGGCGACAUCACUCUGAACCAGGGGUCUCAGACUCGCGGCCCGCGGGCCAACUGCGGCCCUCGGGACGAUAGUUUGUGGCCCCCACCUUAAUAUGAAAGUUUAAUGUUAGUGUGGCCCGCGAGCAGUGAUGUCACACAGCAAAAAGUAGAGAGUUAAAAUUUCAGGGUUAGACGUGUCAGAGUUAAUUUUAACUCAUUAAGUGUUUUUUUAACAUUUAGCGAUUUAAAUGAUGCCCAGUGUUGGAGUUAUUUCGCAGAGUUGAUUGCGUUGGUGUUGAAUCAACUCUGCUGGGAGGAAAAUAAGCUCCUCCCCUCCGCUUCACAGUUUUCGUUUGAUUUCAAUCUGAACUCGGCUCCAUUUUGUUCAUCUCCUGUUCUACACGGUAAGUGUCCAACUUACUAAAUCUUUUGUCCAGCACUAUUACAUUGACAGAGUGAGUGAUUUGACUUUUUCAACUAAUUACAACAUAAUUGAAAGGCAGCUGAAUAUGUCCAUUUUGCAACAAUUUUACACAACGUGUUAGCUAGUAGCCCACCUGGUAGCUAGUAGCACUUACACCUGAUAUUAUUAUCAUGGUAAUUCUUACAAAACAUAUUUUGUCCGACCAUAUGCUCGCGAAAAAUAUACUUCUAUUUUGUUUUGCAGUUUAAAAUGGUAAUUUUGGCCUUGUGAAUGUAAGAGGUAACGACUAUUAGCUUCCGUGGAACAUCAACGAGCCGAAGUCACGCCCCACAAAUAGCCAGGAACUUUACAGCGAGGUGAACGUUUGACCUAUACUUUAUUUUGCUUUGUCUAGGUUUAUCCCAUGCUUAAAUAAAAUGCUGAUCCAUGUAAAGUAUGGUGACCUGCAAAAGUACGUGAAGUUGGAGGAGGUCGAAGGGCUGUUUGACUCUAAUCAGUUUCAUGAGAAAGGUUUGUUAUUUAUUAAACAUCUCUGUGGGGCAUGGGCAUUAUUCUUUUCAAUAUAUGUCUAUUUAACACAUAUUGUACACAUUUGUGGUAAGUAAAAAGAGUAAUCCAUUGUAUUUUCAUUAAUAUGUUUCAUACUAAUCACAUGAUCAAUAUCAAGUAACUGUUAGUUUAAAAAAAUCCAGCUAAUUACAGAAUUAGGCUCUAAAUCUUGCCUUGUUUUUUCAGUCAUUGAACGAUUUUGCCUGCCACCUGAUGGCAAAGUGACAUACAAAGAUGCAACAGAUACUGAAGUUGACGAAGAAAUAUUCGGUGACCUCCUUAGACAAGGCAAUGUGGUACUGACAGUUUUCUGCUAUGAUGGUGAGAUAUCAAAGCAAAUUAAGUCAACUGUUAUACAGAUUUUACCAAAGAAUGUCACUGAUGUCUAUUGUCUCUCUUCAGAGUACUCAGAAUGGUCAUCUGCUUCUGACUCUGACUUGAGCUUCAACUCAAAUGCAUCAACAUCAACCAUACUAUUGGAUGAGAUACCACGCAAGAAGCAAAAAACUGAGAAUGCUAAUAACUCAGUGUCUGCUAAGAAUGUAACAAUAUUUUUUGACUGUCUCUAAAUUCUGUUUUGUAUGCCCAGACAUGUUUUGUCAUAUUUUGGUAAUCUGCAUAUUUCCUGUUGUUUUUUUUCUUCAUUUUAUAGCUGGCUGAAGGUGUCCUACAAAGCAAGUCUGGUGGUGAAGAAAUUCUGCAGGAGUAUGAAACUACAGAAACCUUAACUGAUGCCACAAGAAGACAAAUGGUGAACAUACUGGUGGCUGACAUGAUUGAUAAACAUGGCAAUCAGAGAGAAGUAUGCCUUUGGAAUAGUGACGCUCUUCCCAUCCCUCAAGGAUCCAUACACCAAAAAAGGCUAUGUAAUGUUUUUUUGUUGUUGUUUUUUUCUACAAUCAAACAUGCUCUUUAUUUUGUGACUCCAAACUGUGAUUUUGCAAUUAAUUUUUGUUCUUUUUUUUUUUUAGGAGCACUUUUAUGAUGCAGCAAGCAGCACUGGAUACAUUUCAUGGCGUCUUAAAACGGUCCUAAGGAAGAUUCAAAGAGGAUCUCUUGUGCCACUAAGUAGCACCAAUUACACUUCAUCUGGAGCCCCAAAUAUACAGAGAACUGUGAUUGCUGAAAAACAACUUGAUGGGAAUGCCUGCCAGGAGGCCAUAUCUCUGCUUAACCACACAAAAGACAGGUCUGUGAUCUUUCAGAAGAUGAGAGAGACUUUUGAGCACCAUCACAAGCUUAUUAAAGAUCCCAGUGGAAAAAAAUGAUAUUCUGACAACGUUCCAGAGGUUCCUGGACACAAAAGGAUUGGUAAGUGUUCAAGUGAGUUGUAAAAGUCUUUAAAUGUGGAUUUUUACCUUCUUAUAAUGGUUUGAUUUCUACAUGUUAUUAAAGAUUGAUCAAGACUUCAGUCUUCUGUUCAGUGAAGAAACCUCAUCCAGACUGCUGCAGAAGUGGGAUGUGAUCUUCAAACCAAAUGUCAUCAAGGAGGCUAAGCGUUUAACUUCUACACCUGAGUUGAGAAGUUUGGUGCAGUCAGCGGAAAGUCUUCAAAGCGAUGACCUCUCUAACACAUCUAGUAAGUACCUAGAUAUAUCUGAAAAUAGUUGACUGUUCAGAGUACUCAUAAAGUUCUGAUAUCAUAUCUGAAAACAUUUAUAAAUUUGUCUUCAGGCUAUGACCAAGAAAUGGCGUCGCUGUUACUUCUCUUACAUCUCCUUCAACCGCAACCAGGAGGACAGAAGUCUCCAAAAAUCAGUGCAAGUGAUGCAGUUGAGAGACUUGUUGUCUUUCAUAAGUCAUGCUGCAGUUUAGAGGAGCAUCUCCAGGGUCAACGGGGUCUGCAGCCAUUCCUCCUUGAUGUUGGGCAUCAGAACAUUUCACUUAAAGAUGAAGAUGUGGUCAACAAAGAAAUGCUUCAAAUGAUUUCAUCAGGAGAUGUUUUUUCAACCAACUGGGUUAGAGUUGAGGAUGCUGAAUGCAGACAAGGACUUGCUGUUUGCAGCACAAUUCAAGAUGAGAUGCCAGUGUUUUGUCAGAUAAGUGAUGUACUUUUAGUUAACAAUACAUUUCUUUUGUUAUCUAAACAGCUAUUCACAGAAACAUUUGAUGAUCAUCAUCAUGCUUUCAGGAUUGUUCAAAGUGAAGAAAGGCAUUUAGUAAAAAUCCCUGAACUUAAAUUUCAUAAGACUUUUGAUAUUCAAAACUCUUAUGGCGUUUCUAAUGAAUGUUUGUUCAUUGUACCACAAUUUAAAAUGUUGGAAACACAGCUGCAAAAAUAAAGUGUUCAAAAUUGAUUUACUUGUGUCAAUUUUUUUUUCUUAAUAAUUAUUAUAAUUAAUCAUAAAGUAACUUUUUUUGGAAUAAUAACACUUGAAAGUGUUAAAUCAACACUAACAAAGUGGUACAUUUUUGUUCUUGGAUCAGUGUUAUCCAUUAUAUCCCACAGUGUUAAAUGAACCCUGUUUUGUGAGUUAAAUAAGUAACUCUGAUAAAGUGUUAAAAUUUUAACUAUUUUGAAAGUGUUAAUUUAACUCAAAAAGAGAGUGGACUAUAUAAACACUGAAAAAGUGUUAAAAUCAAAUCUGUGGGAGUUAAAUUAACACUGGACUUUUUGCUGUGCAGUAACGCGUUAAUUUGUAACGUGUUACUGACGUCGGACCACUUUUUUCAGUAACGAGUAAUCUAACGCGUUGCUAUUUCAGAUCCAGUAGUCAGACUACAGUUACUUAUCAAAAUCA